UUCAGGUUAUUUGUCUCAUACUCAACAGAUACCUUUUUGUGAUGUUCAUUUUGUAGCAGAAAAUUCGUUAUUUUUCACCUUCUAGGAUGUCAAUAGAGCUUCCAAAAGCUCUCUGGAGAAAGGGGGAAAGGAUUUUCGAAAUGUUAGAAGCUAAAGUGAACAUGCAGACCACUCACCUCCGGAGGGACGGAUAACAGACUGAGUGAGCUGAACUGCAGCCCAUGAUGGGAACUGAGUUUGUCAUCUCUUUGGAGUGGUGAGAGGUUUUAUUGUUUAAUGUUCAUUUUUUUUGUGCUGGUAAAUGCUUUGCCUGUUAAAUAAACAGGUUUUUUCCACUUUUCUUCAGGGAAAUCUUUUCCCAAAAUAGUUGUUGGAGGGGCGGCUUGAAUCUACUUUCUAGAGGAACCCCUUUGGAGGCUUUCUCCCAAAUUUGCCCUAAACUGGGACAGGCACAUAGCAGGCAUGGAGCUGCUUUGCAAUCACUUUGUAAUAAAUGGAUAGUGUGA